rnacentral:lncRNA from 1 species
UGCUGAAAAACACGCCCUGCAAACACCCGACAGCUCCUUUUUAAGAGACUGUGGUACCUCUGCGGUUGUGGCGGUUGGAUACUUGUAACAACGGUGAAGUAGAGCGUUAACCACCGCCAGUAGCCGCUCCUCUGGUAGGGUCACAAAUCUUGAACCGAUUUCAGUCAGUAAACUCUCAAGUUCACUAGCUAAGUUGGUGUGUUUGCUUCUAAGUGCUUCCAUUAUAUCUUUAGCAGCAUCAAAAGCACUAGUAGCAGAAGCAACUAAACCCAUAGCAUAAUUACGCCUCAUCGCAUUCUGACCACCAUCAUUAACAGAAGGAUUCUGCUGGUCAUUACCAGUACCACCAAGCGCACUGCCUUCAGUAACUGUGGACCGUUCAGGUUCUUGACCCUGAGAGUUACCACCAUCGUGUGACCCAGCGGGACCAGUUGACUGGGUUCCUUGUGGACCGUUCAUGUCUGACGCCGAAGACCCGACAGCUUGUCUGGCAUUCCCGUCAGCUCCACCAACCAUGUUUUGUUGCAGCCUUUGCUGAGCCAUUGCCAUUCUGCCAAAUUCAGAUUUGUUCGCAACAUCACGACGCUCGAGCAAAUAUGUUCGAAGCCAGUAAUAUAGUGCCUAAAGAUACACGGUUGCAACUUUGAGCAGAACGAGUUUGCAAUGUGGGGCUUCGGAUCUUUGUAAAGAGAGUAAUAGUUGGGGAAUCCACGAAAGCCAGACCCAAUGAGGUAUUUGAUCAACGUAUUUAUCAAAAGCUCGACCCACAGGCUCAUUGGGAGUGUCAAAGCUGAGAAGGUAUAAAACACGAGCUAGAUGGCUUCUGGAAUUCGGAAUGCCAAAUUUAAUACCUUGAAGAAAACAACUCACAGCAUACUCUAACCAA